UAAUGUAAUAUUGCAUUCUCAAUCGUCUUUUGUUAUGAACAUUUGUAAGAAACGUUGACUUUUUUUAUUAUCCUUGCUCUGUGGAUCUUCUUGCACGAUAUUUUAGCAAUUAAUAAUAUUAGUGUACGAUAUUUCGAGUAAGAAAAAGAUU